UCCCUGGUGACUAGAAUGGUAAAGAAUCUGCCUGCAGUGCAGGAGACCCAGGUUCAAUCCCUGGGUAGGGAA
rnacentral:tRNA from 1 species